rnacentral:sRNA from 1 species
AAAUCUUUAACAUUAUACAGUAAAAGCUUGUAGUUAAUCUCAUUCAUUCAAAAUAACUUCAAAUUCUACGCCAUUAUUGUCAAACACACUUCAACGACUGACUAUAAACAACCACAAUCAGUUGCUGUUAUCGUUUUACGAGUACGGGUUGUCGCUGUUGUCCACACAUUGAAUUCAGUGUCAUAUUAAUUGCGAUAUAGCACAAAAAAAAACCACUUUAUUGGAGGAGGAUAAAAAACAAGUGCUGGUAAAAACCAAAAUGACCGAUUUCGGAGUUCAAAGAUUUGGAUGGAUUUUUAUACAGCUUGCUGAUACCGCAACGAUUCAUUUGCUCAUUACUUGUAGCAUUACACCAAUUAUUAUAUAAGCAGUCUCUAUAUUUAUAAGCAAAUAUUUAUGCCAAAUACGAUAAAGCUGACAUUAACAUUAAAAUAAUUAUGGAAUAAGCUAUGCAUGGUAUUGCAAAACAAUAUGGAAUGCUAAUCAAUCUAUUUCUAAUUAAUACUUACAACAGCAAAUGGCUCAACAAUGAUGGGCAAUAACAUUAAUUGCUUCAUUUAGGUUAACACAUUACCUCAACACAAUGCUUAUAAAUGCCCCAUGACAGUCAUUCCAAAAGUAGACUCCUCUUUUGGUUUACAGAAUGUUACAACAUGGCCACAACAACCAUAACUGAUACAGAAAUUCCAUAACCAAGACACAGAAAAACGGAAGAGUUUAAUGAACGUUGUAUUGCUGACAUGUGGUGUUCCUCACCAGGGUCAUUCAAUUGGAUUUACACGCAACAAUUAUUUAUGGGAUAUUGGAAAUUGUGUCAAUGGAUUGUGGUUCCGGUGCUAGUAUGAUUGAAGUGAAGAAUUUUGUUUUUCUUUUUCCAGAUGUCAGUUUCAGUUUAUUUAACUUAUAUGUGGCUGAAAUUCCAAUAAAUGUGGGGUUUAUUGAUAAUAAAA